GGACCCGGCGCCGACCAAUCAGCGCGGGGUGCGGGGGCGGAGCGGGCGGGGCGAGCGGAGCAGAGUGAACCGCGCAUGCGCCCAGGACUGGCAAACUCACCACAACCUGGACAGUCGGUGGGACCUUGUUGUGCCCGUUGAUGCUGCAGCUGAUGCUGAUGCUGCUGAUGCUGCUGAUGCUGCUGCCCGCCCUCCUGGCUGGGGCACAGGCUGCAGGACUGUUUGAUGUACAUAAUAAAAAGGCAGGCACAGCUGGGGCCCACGCUAGUGCUCAUGGCUACACCUUUAACUUGGAGAAAGUGAGAGGUGAAAGGAGAAGUGUUGAGGGUUGAGGACAGGUUUGACCCGGCCUCUGGCAGCUCGGUCCAAACACCCAUCACCCUUGGGGUGAAAAACCUGCCCCCAAGUUGUUAUUAAAUCUUGCCCCUCUCACCUUAAACCU